CGGCGGCGGCGGCGGCGGCGGCGGCGGGCGGAGUGAGCUGCGGAGCCUGGAAUAUGGUGGGGGAAAUGGAAACGAAGGAGAAGCCGAAGCCCACCCCAGAUUACCUGAUGCAGCUGAUGAACGACAAGAAGCUCAUGAGCAGCCUGCCCAACUUCUGCGGGAUCUUCAACCACCUCGAGCGGCUGCUGGACGAAGAAAUUAGCAGAGUACGGAAAGACAUGUACAAUGACACAUUAAAUGGCAGUACAGAGAAAAGGAGUGCAGAGUUGCCUGACGCUGUGGGACCUAUUGUUCAGUUACAAGAGAAACUUUAUGUGCCUGUAAAAGAAUACCCAGAUUUUAAUUUUGUUGGGAGAAUCCUUGGACCUAGAGGACUUACUGCUAAACAGCUUGAAGCAGAAACAGGAUGUAAGAUCAUGGUCCGAGGCAAAGGCUCAAUGAGGGAUAAGAAGAAGGAGGAGCAAAAUCGAGGCAAGCCUAAUUGGGAGCAUCUCAAUGAAGAUUUACAUGUACUGAUCACUGUGGAAGAUGCUCAAAACAGAGCAGAGAUCAAACUGAAGAGAGCCGUUGAGGAAGUGAAGAAGUUACUGGUACCUGCAGCAGAGGGAGAAGACAGCCUGAAGAAGAUGCAGCUGAUGGAGCUUGCGAUUCUCAACGGCACCUACAGAGAUGCCAACAUUAAAUCACCAGCCCUUGCCUUUUCUCUUGCAGCGACAGCCCAGGCUGCUCCAAGGAUUAUCACCGGGCCUGCACCCGUGCUCCCACCAGCCGCCCUGCGCACUCCGACGCCGGCUGGCCCUACCAUAAUGCCUUUGAUCAGACAGAUACAGACCGCUGUCAUGCCAAACGGAACUCCUCACCCUACUGCUGCAAUAGUUCCUCCAGGGCCCGAGGCUGGGUUAAUCUACACACCCUACGAAUACCCUUACACGUUGGCACCAGCUACAUCAAUCCUUGAGUAUCCUAUUGAACCUAGUGGUGUAUUAGGUAUGGCUUUCCCAACGAAAGGCUAAGAAUUCAAGAACGGUCUUAACUGAACCCUCAUCAGAUCUGAAUUUAACAAAUGCUUAGUCUCAGCAGCCUCCAGGGGGGUGGGAGGGAAGCUUAGCCUAGCAGUCAGUGACUUACUUGCACUUUUUGCACACUGAUAGAAAGUAAAAGUUUGUUAUUAAUUGGUUUAGUCUGUAACCUUACAAAGUAACGGUGAUUUAUACAGGAGUGUAUAGUAGUAUACUGACUGCUAAGUGUACUAUACUGUUUGCUUUACUAAUCACCUAAUUCAUUGCAGUUCAUACUUAUUGACUCGAAGUUUAGAACCACAAUCUGUAGGCUUUAAGAAUUGCAUUUAAACCUUCUUAAGUGAUAGACUCUGGAAGUGUGGUCUUAAGGUUAGCAAAUAAUUGUCAGUAUUAAACAUGGCAUUAUUUAAGUAGUCCUGCUGCAAGAAAGGCACUUCAGUGAAUAUGUGACUAGUAAAGCCUAACUAUGUUUGGAUCUAAUAGAGUUCAUGAAAUCUGUAACUUGGGAUUAUAAAUGAAUGGAUAAAAUAGGUUAAGGCCAAGAUGAUUGAAAUGAAUGCAAUAUUAAUAGAUGCAUAUAUACGCAACAUAUAAUGGUUAAUUUUAAGACUACUGUGCCUUAACGUGUUUCCUAAAACAAAACUUUUGUAGUAAAUGAACAUUUGAAAUCCAUUGUGAUAAACCUGCUGUUAAUGUUUGUUUUCUUUUCCCUUGUGAAUGUUUUCUAACUUUGUCUUGGUAAUUGCAAUUUAACUAGGUGCGGUGGCUACUAAAGUUCGAAGGCACGAUAUGCGUGUCCAUCCUUACCAAAGGAUUGUGACCGCAGACCGAGCCGCCACCGGCAACUAACCUAUGACCUUCUGACCUCUGAACUCUUCACCCAAUGAUGACCUGACCAUGCCUGCCUGCUGAUCAGUUAACUGGUAAUCGCCUUUGCUUGCCUGUCGUCAGUGCAGCGAGCUGAGGCACUUGUCCGUUCGUCUUACCAUCUAACCAAACAAAAGACAAAGAAAUCGUUGUCCUCCAACUCAGCUUUCGUUUGUUUUGUUUUGUUAUUUCUUUUUCUGUUUGGGUGAAAGUGGUUCUAGACCCUGCACUGAAGAGUGUAAAGCAAUAAGGCCCAAUCCAUCCCCCAGCACUGACCACCUUUCAGUGUCCGCCCUAAGCGAACGGUGAGAAGGCCUCACUGCAGAAGGGCCAGCGACAGAGGCAGUUACUGUGAGAGACUUCUAGGAACCUCUCUGCGUAGCGAGUCAGAGCUCUGAAUGUACUGUGCUGAUGCAUCAUGCAUGAACCUUUGGUCAGGGGUGUCAUUGGUGAAGCGAUUUCAAAAAGUAUUCAAAAUUUGACCUGCUCUUUAGUCACUACAGUGCCCUCAAAGGGCAGAAGUCGCAGCCUUUUUUAUAUUGCCUGCCAAAAUUUGAAGUAUUAGAAGUGUGCCAUGAGAGAAAAACUUAACAAGGAAUUUUGGAAAGUAAUGCAAAGAACAAAACUGCAACACUAUUUUUUAAAAGAUAAAUAUCUGAGUUAAAAUUACUGAACCUUUAUUUUACACCUCCUUUAAAAAAUAUAUGAGAACAAGGUACAUGCAUUAUGUGUCACAUUACUGGGCAAACUGUUCAAAUAUUUUUUUUAAACCUCCCUGUAUAGAAAAAAAUCAUUAAGGAUGUAAAAGCCAUGCUUGCCUAUUUGCUGUAUACAUGUAAUGAAAUUGUAGAUAAAGUGUAGUGCAUUGAAACAAAUGAACAAAAAAAGUAGAUACUUUUACUAUACAAGGGUGCUGGUGCAGAAAAAAUAUAUAUAUUUUUGGAAAUGUAGCAUUUUAUACUUUCAAGUGUUAUAAAAAAAAGAAAAAGAACAAAGAAACCCUUUAUUUCAUUAAAUGAUUUUUUCUGGUGGUUGUCAAGAAACAAAAGACCAAAAGAGCCUUUUUGUCUUUCUUUUUUAUUUUUUAAGUAUUGGAAUAAGUCUAAAGAAAAGAAAGUGCCUUAUUUUUCUUCAUGGUCAUUUAGUCAAGUGUCUUGUAAGAUCAGCUCCUCCCUCAGAAUACAAGUCAAUGCCUGUCACUCAGUCGCCCAGUAUGUGAAAGAAGAUGUGAGGGGAGACACGUGAGUUGAUGGUUUGAAUUAAAUGAUUUUUGCCACAUUACCUUGAUAUCAAUUUGCCAAAUCUGAUACUGUGAAAAAAUUUGAUAACUUUUCUAAUUCCUAACAAGUAAGUUUGAAAACAUCCUUUUAAAAUCACAAUUGAGUGCUUUUGGUAAUUGGUAUACGUAAUGUUAGCCCAAAGGGUUCUGAAAUAAACAUUACGUGUGAUUAGAACACCAUUUCAUAGACAAAAUUAGAACUCUUAUUUGGUGGGCGUGUUGUUGGAUUUUUUUCUUAUUAAUCGGUGGUAAUAGUAUACACAGCAGUCUUUUUCAUAAGAGUGAAUCUUUGUGAUUUUCAUUCUGGAUAACAGUGUUUGUAAAUGACCCAAAUUUAAAUCAGACUCAUUUCUACAGAACCAGAUCACUUGUGUAGUCCAUCUCUGCUGGUUUCAGUGGCCUAAGCCGCGUACACACACACACACACACACACACACACACACACACACACACACACACACACACACACACACACACACACACACACACACACACACACACACACACACACACACACACACACACACACACACACGCCCCCAGCCCCCGUUUAACUUUAAAGGAAUGAGAGAAACUAGCAUCAUUGUGCAUAGACUACUCAACUACAUGUGAGUAUGAACUUGCAGUUUCUCCGGACGUUCAGUCGGUUUUGUGGCUGAAGUGAUCUAUGCACAAAGCUCUGCAUCGGAACUCGAGCUUGCAGAUCUCACUGACCUGUAAGUGAGCAUUAAAUGCCCAGUACCAGAUGUGGCAAAUGGCGAGUGGCUGUAGGUCCCCAGCUCAUCAACUCCUGCCCUCUGCAUACCGUCACGGCUUCACAGUCAAAGGUCAGCAUAAGCUCAGUAAGCACCUUCGCGGUGACCUCCGUCAUCUUGUCCCCUUGGAAACCGUUUUCAGUUUAUUUACUAUGCAAUAGACAUUUGUUGUUUUGUAUUCAGCUAGCUUUGGUUUAGUGUGACACUGCUUGUCUUUCUGUUACACAUAGAGUUGUUUUGCUUGAUUUACCAUAUGUGCUGUGCCAUUUUGAUUUUUAUUUUGUUUGGUUGGUUGAAUAAAUUUGCGACACUCAAACACUUGAGGUGAUAGUUUAAAAACGAUACCAGUAUUUGAUCCAGUUUCAUCUCAACUGUGUUAUACCUGGACAUUUUAGAUGUUUAUCAAAGGUCUUUUAUGGGGAAGAAAGUAAAUGUAUGAAAUAAAUGCGUGACAUUGAUGAGUAAUGUUGGCUCUGAACAAACGUUUGAAAACUUAGUUGAUAAAAUUUUGGAUCAACUGAAAAAAAGCAUGACUUUUGAAAUCUCUGAAUGCCUUGGUUCUCAGUAUUAUCAUUCUUUAUUGAAUUUCUUUCUUAUUAAAAUAUGUAGUUUUUAAGCCUUUUUUUCUGACAGUAUUAUGUAAUUUUUUAGCGCGGGUAGAUGGGAGUGUCGCUUGUAUGUUACCGUACGGCUGACAUGUAUUUUUGUCUAUUCUUUAUUAUCUCAGUAGUUUCAUGCUAUGUAUGUACCAUAACCAACCUAUUGCCUAUGAGAAACAUGUAAGAUAAUGUAUUUACAGCCAUUGUUACAAGUUUAUAAUGUAUUUUUCUAUCUUGUUUUAUAUGUAUGUUAUAUAACAUUCAAAAAGAAUUUUUUUCUUGAUUGAGAAAAGGAUACAAAAUGCAGAAUCCACAAUUUUGAUAACUGAAAAUUGCCAAUUGUUUUCCAGUACUUUAUUACAUUGGGUGUCUUGUCUUUCUUGGGCUUUUAGUUAGCUAAUGAAUGAAUACAUUAGACACUUUUGGGUUUUAGUUGGGAUUUUACAUAGCUUGCAUUUUAAUUCUUUGGUUCUUUGCUGUUUCUAUUAACCCAUAGCAUUAUUUUAAUAAAUGUUAUAAUAUCAACCUACUAACUCUGGACUAUGUCUGUUUAUUAACCUUUACAUGUUUAAUUAAAAUAAACAAAUAAAGACAAAAGAAUGUAAAGUCUUGAAUUACUGGACUAACCCUGAAGAAAGUGACCACAGAUAACAUAGCGUGACUUGUUUUUAUGUUGUUUGUCAGCUGACAGUUCCGCGCACUACUGUUAAAAUGGCUUUGGUUAUUCUGGCCUUUUACCUUGGGGGGUAGGUGCCAGUAGAGACGGGAACAAAGUAGUGUUGGUUUGAAGCGUUCUUCUAGUCUUGCCACCUGCCUUUCAACUUGUGCAUUACUAAUUCCACACUUUCUUAUUUUUCCUUCUCCAAAAUAAUCACUGUCUGCUCACAGCAUAAAGAGUAAAGAGAUUUAUCGUAAUGAUAUACCCAAGAAACCAGUUUGAUUCUUUGUUGAACCAUUUUUUAAAUUUCUAUAAGUAGAUAAUCUAAUGGUCACAUUAUAAAGCAAAGCAUCUGAUGACGUUUUACCUUUCUUCAAAUUGGUGUUUUAAUUGGACAUUUUUCCAGUGUAAAGUUAUGAACUGUUUUGGCUAGCUGCUCCUGUUACGGAAAGCCAAAGGUAGAGUGGCUCCGUGUCUCAGGCCAGCCCAGCGUCGGCUGUUGAUGACGACCACGGACGCAGGUCCCUCAGCACGAGGUCAGACGGCAUCGCUGAGCUUGCUCCCUCACCCUCUUCCACAGUACAGUCAGAGUGCAUCAAUGCAAGAAGUCAGGGGGAGGGACCGUGCAUUCGGAAAGGAAUACAUGUAUCAUUGUUUGCAUGGGAGUUAAUUUAAGGAGAUUUAUUAACUUACCUUCCUGCUUUUCUUAGCUGUGGCCUAGGUAAACUGACCUCUACUUACCGAUUCUUUUAACUCUUGAGGUGCAUUUAUGUUUCACAGAUGGUGGUAUUUCUUUUUCUGUGAAAUGGUCCUCCUGGAUGAUAAAAAUUCUCAGGACGAAUUUUUGCAUUUGCAAAUAAUGCCUUAUUUUUGUAAAUUGCUUUUUAUUUAUUUUAAAGUUCUAAAAUUUGGGGCUGAAGUGAGUCACAUGUUACAGAAGACAUAACCACACCAAUAUGGUAUUAACCAGACUGUCAAAACGUAGUCCCAUAGUAUGUAUACAUACAUGAAAUACAUAGAAUAGCGAGAGCAUCAGAUUUAAUCAUAAUUGAGAUGGUUCUUUCGAUCAAACAAAUACACUGCUUCUCUGAUGGGAUGGGGGCAAUCUAUUAUUGUUAGGUAGACAGCUUUAAUAUGCUACUAUCCAUAAAAUUUCACAUUGCCAUACAGUUAAUAUAUAUUAUUUUGUAAAAAUUUGAAGAUAACUUUCAAGCUGCUAGUAUACAAGUCAUCAUGGUACCAUGUCACUGAAGUUGAUUAAGAAUUUCUAUGUAUUCUACAUUUUCUGAAGCCUGUGAAUGCAGUCUCAUCUCAUUGUCAGUUAAGAGAACUUUUAUGUAUAAUUACGUUGUAUUGCCACCUUUUAUGUUGGAAAAGUCCCGUUUUAAAAGGCAAAAAUGACAAAACCCAUUUUUAUACAGGAUACAGUAGAAUUAAACUUGAAAUCGCCAAAUUGUUAGAAUGAUAAAAUGCCAGGGUCAGUUUAUUGUUCUAUAUUACUAGUAUUUGACAAAGCAAUUGGAAGUUAAGCUUUCAGUCGAGAAGUUGGUAAAGUUAUAUAUUUGCAGUCAAGCAUUUUCCUCUGGGAAAAUAGAGCAUGAAAGUCGAUAUUCACCAACACACUAGUGCAGUCUGUGCGGGAGAGCCACCUCGGGGGCGGUCAGAGCGCCCUGUCCAUAAAGCCAAGAUGUGCGAAUGUUCACACAAGAUAGGAGGUGGUUAAGGUUUCUCAAUAAAUACUGAACAAAUACGAAGGGCUGUAAGUUUUUAAGUACACCAAAAGCAGACGGUAGGUGUAAUUUAAAUGACAUUGAUUUGGUCAUUACCAAAUCAAGACUCUUCUUUACCAGCUACCUUUUAUAAAUGACAGUCUAUAAAGUUUCUCCAGUUUGAGGGGAAGGGGUUUGUGUGUUUGAAAUAAGAUGUCUAUCAUGUCUUGGUAACAAUUAGCAAUUGUAGGGUUACCAGCAAGUGAUUUUUAGUAGAAUGAAAUGUAUUGCUAGAUUAUAAUCCAUUAUUUAAUAGCAAAAGUUAUCCAGAGAACUUUUUAUAGACUCAUAAACUUUCUAAGUAAACGUAAUUUUUAAACAUCCUCAAAAGUUUCUUACUAUUUAAAAUGGAAAAAUAAUUCAUCUUAUAGAUAAUUUUACUUUUAGAGAGAUUCAUAUGGUACACACAUGUAAUUUUAUCUGUGGUUUCUUUUAACAUAUUACCUAAGCUGAAAUGCCUUUGCUAUGAAGACACAUAACAAAAUUAUAUACCUUCCUGGUACUCAAUGCUGAAUCAAACUGGUUCCCCUGAGUGUAGUGCUGUCCUUUCUGUGUUUCUGCUGCACUAAUUGCAGGGGGUUGGGAGAGAAGGAGAAGAAUUAAUUCAUAGGAGAAGUGGUCGGUAGGUGCAGCAAAUAGCACAACCUGGACUUCUCACUGCUUACAAUUUUGCUGUCCCUUCAUGGCAAAAGACACCGCAUUGCAGAUAAAGCACAACUCCCAGAAAAAAAAAAUUUAUAUAUGUAUAUACAUAUCUUUUGAAAAUGCUAUUAUUGAGAAAUUUUGAUUACCAAAUACAUCAUUUGUGGCUUAUAUUGUAGUGGUGUGUAUGAAACAUUUAGAACUCGUGGAAAUUGUCUAUACAGAGAGAAGUUGAAAUAGGCCUUUCCAAAUCGUAUGUGAAUGGAGAACCACGUAUGACUGUACAUGACGUGCAAUAAACCAACUGGAAAAAGUG